CAAAAAGGAUUCUUUUCGGGCGGUGCGAGGGCUGCUGCACAGCUAGCAGAGCCGCGGUCCGGGCGGCAGCGCGUGCCCCGAGCUCUCCGCCUCCCCCCGCCCGCCAGCCCGCGGCGCCCGAGCCCAGCCCGCGGCCCCAGCAGCAGCGCCAUGGCCCGGUGGGACGCCUACAUCCACAACCUCAUGGCGGACGGGACCUGUCAGGACGCGGCCAUCGUGGGCUAUAAGGACUCGCCCUCCGUCUGGGCCGCCGUCCCCGGGAAAACCUUUGUCAACAUCACGCCAGCUGAGGUCGGUGUCCUGGUUGGCAAAGACCGGUCAAGUUUUUUCGUGAACGGGCUGACACUUGGGGGCCAGAAAUGUUCUGUUAUCCGGGACUCACUGCCGCAGGGUGGGGAAUUUACCAUGGAUCUUCGUACCAAGAGCACCGGGGGAGCCCCCACUUUCAACAUCACUGUCACCAUGACUGCCAAGACGCUAGUCCUGCUCAUGGGCGAAGAAGGUGUCCACGGUGAUAUGAUCAACAAGAAAUGCUAUGAAAUGGCCUCCCACCUGCGGCGUUCCCAGUACUGACCUCGUCCGUCCCUUCCCACCACCACUCCCCACGGCUUUUGCACCCCUCUCCUUCCCAGACACACACAUACACCAUUUUUAUUUUGGGGGCCAUUACCCCACACCCCUUAUUGCUGCCAAAACCACAUGGGCUGGGGGCUGGGGCUGGAUGGACAGACACCUCCCCCUACCCAAACCCCUCCUGUGUGUGGUUGGAAAACUUUUUGGGUGGGGGGUUUGUUUUUGUUUUUGUUUUUCUGAAUAAAAAAGAUUCUACU